rnacentral:lncRNA from 1 species
GUAAAAAGGACGUCUAUAUAAGGAGGGGAACGAGCUUUGUUUAUAGCACAAGUGAAACUCCACUUUAUUGAACGAUGGGGUCUCAAAUGGGCUGCCUCUUUGCCACUCUUUUGGUAGUAUCAGUCUCUCUUAGCUACUUGCCGAUAGAAGCCUCCGCAAACAAAUACUACUACACAUCUCCUCCCCCUCCCAAGUACAAGUCUCCACCACCACCCCCGCCACCGGUUCACAAUUCUCCACCACCACCCCCGGUUUACCUGCCCCCGCCACCUCCUCCACCAGUCUACGUGCCUGCUCCGGCACCAACUCCAAUUUUCCCUUCUCCGCCACCUCCUGUCCCCAAGUCCCCACCACCACCUCACCCUUACGUCUAUGCAUCUCCCCCUCCUCCUUACUACUACUAGAAAGCGGCCAUGAAUAGCUCAUGCUUUUAUGGUAAUCUCAUUUAUUUUUAAAACUGUACAUGUAAAGACUAGUAGUUCAGAAUUACAUUAAGCAUUUCAAUUUUAAGCACCGUGUUCUGUUUAAUUGCGUUCCUAUUGAUUAAGUGACAAAUAAAAGAGAUUGAUUAAUUUGUUCUUGUAGGAGAGGCGAAUGGUAUCCGAAUAAAGAAAGCAAGGGUUUGAUGGAAGGCUUACUUGGAGCAAGAUAGCGAUCAAUCGAGUUGCUGCGUUUUAUUCUCUUUUCUCUUUGUUUUUUAAGAAAAAUAAACUGCCACACGUAGAAACAGAAAAUUAAGUUCUUGUCAUUUUCAUGCAUGUGGAUUGUUGCUUUGUGUGUCAAUCAAAUCUCCGUUGUGUCAUUUGUAAUUUUCAACCUUUAUGCAUGCAAAUGCGAGACCUCUUACGUAUAAUAAAAUUAAUAUACUUCCCAAGAUGGUCUUAUCUUGCGUUGACUUUUUACGUUCCUUUGGUGAUGAUUUUAACGUUUGAAAUUGAUGAGUAUUGUUUUUGUAAACUCUGACAUGG